CUUUUAUAUAUUUUAAAUCCAGUAAUGAGUGUUUAUUUUUGUUCAUCAGUGAAUGAAAACGGUUAUUAUCCUGAUAUGAAUUCAGCUUAUGAUCCUGAAUUUAUAUUGUUAAAGCAGUCAAUAAUUAUUAUUUCCAAGUUAUAACUGACUUAGCAAAGUCAUGUUAAUUAUUAAUCAAGAAAUAGAAGCAGUUAUAUUUUUUUAGUGCUACUUGAAGUCGAGAAAUUAUUCCGACUGCAACGCAGAUUAAAUCUACGGAUUUAAUCUAGAUAUUAAAUGGCUUGUGAAUUGAAUUAAAUCUAUGUAUUUAAUUUAUACAUGAAUAAUGAGCAGAAGCCAAUAUUUGAUUGCAAACACGCGAUUAAAUAGUAGAUGCACUGAGUAACCAAGAUACAAAGAUUUAUUAUUAUUUACAAUUAGGACAUCACACUAUAUACGCAUAAUUACCACCAGCACUACAACAACAUCUUUCUUUUCCCUACAAUAACUAAGCCUCCACUAUCAUUAUCUUUUACACCUUUCUAACAUUUCUUUACGUUAGUGGCUAGCACACUUAAGUGCACCACCAAAUCCCCUUUUCUUAAUUUAUCUAUCAACCUUUAAACCACCACCUCCAAAGGCUUUAUCAUUCAGCCAACAUACUAAUCAUUCAUUCUUCAAGAAUUCAGAGUAAGUACGUUGAUUCCUGCUGCCAAACUUCGAACAGGUAAGCUUUGGUUUAAGUUUUUCCACCAGUCCAUUCUUGAUUCCCCUGCAUAUGUCAAUAAGCAUCUGAAAAUUUCAGCUAUCUCCUCAUUAAAUUCAAUAGCAACAAACAGCCACCAACAACAAGCAAUUACAGGUCAAGGGCGAGAUUGAUAAUCUGUUGAGGAGCUUUCGUAUCACAGAAAAUCACUAUCAGGUUGAGCAGCUGCCGAUGGUGAUGAAGUGACGAGCGGGACUCUUUUGUCUUAUUGUGUAUUAAUGAACUCUAGGGUUACAUGUCUUCAUACAUGUAAUCAGAACCUUAUUCCGCUGCGUACUCAGAAGUUUUAUGUUAUUUUGGAUAAGUCGGAGUUAUCCGAACUUACUAGUUAUUUGAGUCUAUACGACUAAAACUCCGUUAUAUUAUAAAUAUCCCUGUUGUUAACAAUGA